CGGGGGCACACGACUAAUUAACCUCGGUUCUUUGGUAAUCUCGCAACUCCCCCCCACGCUCGGUCGUCGCCGGACUAACAAGGAGCCGGGAAGUAGUUGACCCCAACAACUUAAGAAAUCUGUCCCCGGACGGGUACCGGCUCCUUGUUAGACCGGGCCGCCGUCGCCUGCCCCACCACCACCGCUACUUCCCGGUGGGCCCCAGUCCGUUCAGGUGCCACCGAGCACGGUAGCGGAGGAGCGAGGCUACGGGCGAGGAACUGUUCCUGCUGCACGCCCUGACGUGGGACGUGGAGCUCGCGCGGCGGCGGCCGUCGCCGUAGGAGUUGCUGGAGAGGAUGCGGCACGAGACCUCCAACCGGCUCUCCGUCGAGGCCGAACCGGACAGGUAGCAGCAGCUGAGGGGUGACAGCGCGGCUCGGGUAGAGCUACGAGACCGGGCGAACGGACGACGUGAACAAUAGUAACACCUUACGGCCGGUCCGUUGGUUCUACUUACCGCGGCGUCCGACCUCCUCGCACCUCCGCAGAACCGGCUACUACCUACCGUAUUCGGGUUCUGCACCCGGCUGGAUCUUUCCGAACACCUUCCCAUGGUUCCUACGUGUUUGAUACUGUAACCCCUACACGGCUCCUAGCAACACCUAUGUUGCCUGGGCUGCCAGUCGUGGCUCCGUUAGCGACACUCCCAACACCUAAAAUAAUCCAGAGAAGAUCGGGCACGCGUAAUCUAUACAAUAUUAUCGACAACUGGUUGCAAAACCACUUCUGUUCCAAGUAUACAAAAGACAGUCGUCCUUUUAUCUCCUAUUCAAUUCAAAGUCUAAUCUUAAAGUACCGUCUUACAAUUUUACUACAUAUAACAUAACAUAUCCUAACCUUCACGUACACAAAUUGAAGAAGUAGGCGUCGCAACUACGAAUACGAGCGGGAGACAAAUACUCACAUCGGUAAGAGUCAUGGAGUUUGCACAACGUUUUACUGGGUGGAUACAUAAUACAAUGACUAAAACUUCGGAAAUGAACUAUGAACUAUGUAAAACGAAGGAAGGGGUAGUAAUUCCAAUGUUACGAUCUAGUAAUGUGUUGUGUAACAAACAAAAGGGGCAUCACUAUCGACGAAUACAGUGUCACACAUGAAUUGUACUUGGGACAUCUUCAGAGACAUUACGUAAUGAUCCUUAAUACUUAGAGAAUCCUUUAUCAAUUGGACAAUAACAGUUAGUUCCAAACGUCGGUAACUACAGUGAGUAGAAAUAAACCAGGACCAUUGGAUUUUUACUAGUAUAUAUGUACAUGUCAGUAUUGUAAAGUCACCGAUAAAAUCUUUGGUCUUAACUAUCGCUCUUUAUAGCUGUAAAAAGAGAAUGUUGAGUCUACAGGACUAAGACUUACACAUUGUAUGUGAAAAAACAAGACACCAAACGAUACCUAUUCUGCGACCGUGGAAGGUUAAAGGUAAAGUAAGAACCAUCGGACAGUUCACCCCCGUUCAUGUCAUCUUUGUUGGGAAAACCACUUACUUAUCUUUUAUAGUUGGACCUAACAGACUAACCUGGAUCUAACCAGUAAUUCAAAACUUGAACACCCACAUUCAAAAUUUUGAGCGGCCACGUUCAAAACAUUGAACGUAGACACGGUAGGUAGAGGCUAGACUACCGGGUUCAACUAGAAAAGAUAAGAACGUGGUAUUCCAGACUAAGAUAACAUCAGCAGGGGAAAUUCAACGUGACUGCUUUUGAACAAAGGUUGUCGUGGUACAUAGAAAAAUACGAGUUUCUCCGGAUCAGUAUUCUUCGUUCAAUUAUGAAAAAUAAAAGAAAGUUCUUUUGUUACUCUAGUUCAAUAAAACUUUAAGUUCUUAAAAUACUAAGCAACCCUCCGGUAUACAAUAAAUAAACAUGAAGUUUUCACAAAAAAGACGUCGUGCUCCGUCAGCACACAACCCUCUUGUCAUCAUACAUAUAACGUCAGAGUUCGUAGACUUGUUUAUGUUUCAACUCGUGAUCCCAUCGGUCAAUAUAGUUCACUCUCGUCACUAAGCCACGGGUCCGAGUAGAAGUAGGCGCAAAUUCUUUUUUAAGUUUUGUUUAUGAUCUUUUUAAGUUUUUUAAGGUUCGUUUAAAACGUACCUUCUAUUAAACCACGCACUCCAAGCAGGGUUUAAAGUCUAGUAAACCUAUAGACUCAUCGAGAGCCGUUUUUUCUGUUUAAACCCCAGACAUUAAAAAAAUGACAAGUACAUGACAAGGAUGGGUUAAACAGAAAGAAAGACUCUCGAUGAGUAUACAGGUUUACUAGACUUUAAACCUCGUGUCGAGUGCGUAGUUUAAUAGAUGGUACGUUUUUUCUUAACCUUAAAAAAAUAAAAAAACUUAUAAAACACUAAAAAAUUACAACUUUGUCAUAGUCAUGAAAAGAACAAACACUUCUGAUAGUGGUCUCGGGUCUGUAUUGAGGGAGCAAAACACAAAGUGAUCAGGGACACGAUCUACCGUAGAAGAUGAGAUUUUGGUCCACACGGAUAAUGAAACGUUCUCGAUCUCGGGAGGAGUCUCUACAAGUUCGUUCCCCGUAGGUAGGCCCAUUGUCCUUACAUACACACGUACACGAAGGAAGACUUUUCACGUUUGAAGACACGAUUGGAAAAACCGAACGUUAAGAAAAUCGGAAGUCAGUAUACUACACCUGAGACGUCAACGACAGUAAGUUCUACCGUCACGAUCUGACUUCUAACUAUGAGUUUUGGACUCUCUGUAAUCAAAGACGUCAUUAAGGUGCAAGGUCAAGUAGCCACUUGAGGACUAGGUCGGUUUGUUGCUACGCUAAGAUGUUCGUGCACACCCGUCCUUACAACUACCUGAACUGGACUUGGAAAUGGUCGUCAGAAACUAGUAGGCUGCCGUUGUACUUCGGUUUGAUGACUCGAGGUCCUCCGGUACUAGGUUUCGACACUUGGUCCGAGUUCCGGAGUCAAGUCAAAAAGACUUCAUAUCUCGUACACUCUUUUCUUAGUGCAUUGAGUACUACUAGUACAAGAGGUCAAACAAUAGCUUGGAUGUUUCACCAUGAUCAUCAACAAUUGACUCAAAGGACCCGUGUCUAAUAAGGAGCUACCGGUGGAGUAAGAGUUCCGAUAAAUUCGAUAGUCCAGGUACCCGAGUAUAACCAAUUCCCAGGUGUAUAAACAAAGUGCAACAAAACACCCGACCGUAAGGGAAAGUCGAGCUGUCUACACCACUAUAGGAUAAUAGGACUUGUUAAACCUUGGACUGUCCGACACACCCCCGUCUACCUACACUACGGAUGGUUGGAAUUAAAGAAAAUCAAUCACUACCGCGAAGUCUGAUUAAUGGCGACCUCCGUGUAUUUGGUACCUCUUGAAUGUACUCCUCGGCGUAUUACCCUUCCACAUAUAUGUGGACUACCCCCCUUAAUUAUUUUUUUUCAGUUAUUUCAAGUCUUCAUAUAAAACUUAUUUGAACUGAAAAAGAAGUGAUCAUAUAUAUAAAAGUGCUUAUUUUGGGGUCGCAACUGUUCAGUGCUCUUUAACCUAGAAAACGGGUGAAAAGAAGAAUGAAACCACUACCACCCCG
rnacentral:rRNA from 1 species